rnacentral:rRNA from 1 species
AGAGUUUGAUCCUGGCUCAGGAUGAACGCUGGCGGCGUGCUUAAUACAUGCAAGUCGAACGGAGACAGUAGCAAUAUUGUCUUAGUGGCGAACGGGUGAGUAACGCGUUGGUGGCCUGCCCCGAAGAGGGGGAUAACAGUCCGAAAGGAUUGCUAAUACCCCAUGUAGUCAUAUGGAUUAGAUGCCUAAUGACUAAACGGAUUUAUUCGCUUCGGGAGGGGCCUGCGUCCCAUCAGCUAGUUGGUAAGGUAAUGGCUUACCAAGGCUAUGACGGGUAGGGGACCUGAGAGGGUGGCCCCCCACAAUGGAACUGAAACACGGUCCAUACACCUACGGGUGGCAGCAGUAGGGAAUAUUGGUAAUCUGGGAAACCGGGAACCAGCAACGCCGCGUGCACGAUGAAGGCCUUCGGGUCGUAAAGUGCUUUUUGAAGGGAUGAGGAAGGACAGUACCUUCAGAAUAAGCCUCGGCUAACUACGUGCCAGCAGCCGCGGUAAAACGUAGGAGGCGAGCGUUAUCCGGAUUUACUGGGCGUAAAGCGUGUGUAGGCGGUUUGAUAAGUUGGAUGUGAAAGCUCCCGGCUCAACUGGGAGAGGUCGUUCAAAACUAUCAGACUAGAGAGUGGUAGAGGGAGGUGGAAUUCCGCGUGUAGUGGUGAAAUGCGUAGAUAUGCGGAGGAACACCAGUGGCGAAAGCGGCCUCCUGGCCCAUUUCUGACGCUCAGACACGAAAGCUAAGGUAGCAAACGGGAUUAGAGACCCCGGUAGUCUUAGCUGUAAACGAUGUGAACUUAGUGUCGGUGGGGUUAAAUCCAUCGGUACUGAAGCUAACGCGAUAAGUUCACCGCCUGAGGACUACGGGCCGCAAGGUUAAAACUCAAAGGAAUUG